UACAGAGGUCCCGAGCGUUGUUCGGAUUCAUUGGGCGUAAAGGGUGCGCAGGUGGCGUGGUAAGUCUGAUGUGAAAUCCCGGGGCUCAACUCCGGAACUGCAUUGGAUACUGCUCUGCUUGAGUACUGGAGAGGAGACUGGAAUUUACGGUGUAGCAGUGAAAUGCGUAGAGAUCGUAAGGAAGACCAGUGGCGAAGGCGAGUCUCUGGACAGUUACUGACACUGAGGCACGAAGGCCAGGGGAGCAAACGGG
rnacentral:rRNA from 1 species